UCUGGCCUAGAGUUGUUUGAUUGACUAGCUAACUUCAACUUGCUACGUUCGGUUCUUGUCCUUUGCAGAUGCCACAUUCCUGACAAAGGUCCAUGUUAUUGCCUCAAGCUGGAGAAGAAACAGUCUUUUGGCUGCCACCACAACCCAAACCAGGCGCAAGCAGAAAAGAUCUCUGCGCAGUGAGAUUUUCCAAAAAACAGUCAAGCCUUAUUUUGCAACUGUUGAGGGAUUAUGAUUGAGGCAUUACUUACAAGCUCCUCAUCUCAGCCAACGAGGGAGGCACGCCAGUCUUCCGCCUUGGGGAUUGACAGCAAGAACAUCUUCUGCAACUUCAUCAAACCCCAGCUCCUGAGAGAGGAGGAGCUGCACAUCAGAAAGGAGGAGAUAAGGAAGGAAGAGGCCAUCAAUUACCCCCACGAACCGGUGCCCCCUGCACAUUGACUCUGUACCGGUAGCGCCUGUAUAUAGCCUCACUAUUGUUAUUUUACUGCUGCUGUUAAAUGAUUUGUUACUUCUAUUUUCUACUUAAUUUUUUUUUCUUAACUUAGAGCAUUGUCGGUUAAGGGCUUGUGAUCGGCGCAUGUGACAAAUCCAUUUUUAUUUGGGCAAGAUGAUGGAAAUGGCUGUUGGUCAUCAUGGCUGUGUCUAUUCUGAUCAACUUGAAACGGGGAGGAAAUGGAUUUAUCAAAAUGACACUAAAGAGGCAUAGGAGGGCAUUCUAUUAACCCAACAUAUAGGAUUCAUAUGGGAAGACUGAAUGCAAUGAUAUGGGAUGAUUGUGACCUUACUUAACACACCUGUUGAUUGGUUUCCACUUCCUUUCUUGUUGGAUCCAGGUGUGCUAAUGAAAGCUGCUUAACCUAAGAAUAUAGAGGUGAAAGGUUAAUGAUACUGUAAUAGGUGCUGAUGAUAGGGAUUACUGGUGCAUUAGGUUGAGCUGUUCCACCAUCACAAGACCACAGUGUACCAUGUGUGUUUCUUAUUGUUCAAUAGAAAAUAUUUACUUUGUUCAAAUGGAAAUGGUCUAAUGUAGGAAUUGGUGUAGUGAAGAACAGAAGCAUAUGUGUUGGCCUAUAUUGCAGUAAAAAAAAAGUUUUAUUCAAUCACGUUUAUUUAAAAAAAAAAACUUGUUUUUGUCGCACUGCUUUGCUUUAUCUUGGCCAGGUCGCAGUUGUAAAUGAGAACUUGUUCUCAACUGGCCUACCUGGUUAAAUAAAGGUGAAAAAAAAAUUGUAACACGGCAACAUUUACAGUUGAAGUUGGAAGUUUACAUAAACUCAGUUUAAAUGUAUUUGGCUAAGGUGUUUCACAAUUCCUGACACAUAACCCUAGUAAAAAUUCCCUGUCUUAGGUCAGUUAGGAUCACCACUUUAUUUUAAGAAUGUGAAAUGUCAGAAUAAUAGUUGAAUUAUUUUUUUCAGCUUUAAUUUCUUUCAUCACAUUCCCAGUGGGUCAGAAGUUUACAUACACUCAAUUAGUAUUUGGUAGCAUUGCGUUUAAAUGGUUUAACUUGGGAAAAAUAUUUUGGGUAGCCUUCCACAAGCUUUCGACAAUAAGUUGGGUAAUUUUUGGCCCAUUCCUCCUGACAGAGCUGGUGUAACUGAGUCAGGUUUGUAGGCCUCCUUGCUCGCACAAGCUUUUUCAGUUCUGCCCACACAUUUUCUAUAGGAUUGAGGUCAGGGCUUUGUGAUGGCCACUCCAAUACCUUGACUUUGUUGUCCUUAAGCCAUUUUGCCACAACUUUGGAAGUAUGCUUGGGGUCAUUGUCCAUUUGGAAGACCCAUUUGCGACCAAGCUUUAACUUCCUGACUGAUGUCUUGAGAUGUUGCUUCAAUAUAUCCACAUAAUUGUCCUGCCUCAUGAUGCCAUCUAUUUUGUGAAGUGCACCAGUCCUUCCUGUAGCAAAGCACCCACACAACAUGAUGCUGCCGUGCUUCACCAUUGGGAUGGUGUAUUUCGGCUUGCAAGCCUCCCCCUUUUUCCUCCAAACAUAACGAUUGUCAUAAUGGCCAAACAGUUCUAUUUUUGUUUCAUCGGACCAGAGGACAUUUCUCCAAAAAGUACGAUCUUUGCCCCCAUGUGCAGUUGCAAACCGUAGUCUGGCUUUUUUAUGAUGGUUUUGGAGCAGUGGCUUCUUCCUUGCUGAGCGGCCUUUCAGGUUAUGUCGAUAUAGGACUCAUUUCACUGUGGAUUUAGAUACUUUUGUACCUGUUUCCUCCAGCAUCUUCACAAGGUCCUUUGCUGUUGUUCUGGGAUUGAUUUGCACUUUUCGCACCGAAGUACGUUCAUCUCUAGGAGACAGAACGCGUCUCUUUUCGGCUGCGUAAUCCCAUGGUGUUUAUACUUGCGUACUAUUGUUUGUACAGAUGAACAGGCAUUUGGAAAUUUCUCCCAAGGAUGAACCAGACUUGUGGAGGUCUACAAUUUUUUUCUGAGGGCUUGGCUGAUUUCUUUAGAUUUUCCCAUGAUGUCAAGCAGAGGCAAAGUUUGAAGGUAGGCCUUGAAAUACAUCCACAGGUACACCUCCAAUUGACUCAAAUGAUGUCAAGUAGCCUAUCAGAAGCUUCUAAAGACAUGACAUAAUUUUCUGGAAUUUUCCAAGCUGUUUAAAGGCAGUCAACUUAGUGUAUGUAAACUUUUGACCCACUGGAAUUGUGACAGUUAAUUAUAAGUGAAAUAAUCUAUCUGUAAACAAUUGUUGGAAAAAUGACUUGUGUCAUGCACAAGGUAGCAUGACCUAACCGACUUGCCAAACUAUAGUUUGUUAACAAUACAUUUGUGGAGUGGUUGAAAAAGGACUUUUAAUGACUCCAACCUAAGUGUAUGUAAACUUCCGACUUCAACUGUAAAUAUACUGUGUGUUGAUUUGAUUCUGUAGUGUUCAAUGAAUUGCAGAAUAGUGCCAUGGUUGAUAGGCUAACGUUCAAUAUGGCGCUAAAGCGGCAGGUAACCUAGCGGGUAAGUGUUGGGCCAGUAACCGAAAGUUCUCUGGUUCGAAGCCAGCAAGGUGGAAAAGUAUGCAUUUCUUCUGCCCUUGGGCAAGGCAGUUAACCCCAAACAGGCGCCAAUGACGUAGUUUCAGAGGUUUGGUUAAAUGCGGAAGACACAUGUAGGUUAAAUGCAUUUCAGUUGUGCAACUGACUAGGUAUUCCCUUUCCCUAUGAUUCAACUUGGCUUUUAAAGUUGGGGGUUAAAUAUUUUUUGGGGCAGCCGAAUUAUAAUUUUCACUAUUUUGUGGAAAAAUUAUCAGAAUUGAAAACGCAGCCAUAGGGGUCUAGGCCUUGCUCUUACACAGAAAGAAUAAAAUGUAACAUUGUGUACAGUAAAUUAAUUGAAAUGUGCCUUCAUGGUAUUGGAUGUAAGAAAAUGCAUGACCAAUCCCAUGUAAUUUGUGCUGCUUCAACACGUCUAAUGUAUUUAAGAGAAAUCAAUGAUUUAAAAGGCACAUGAGAAUUGAAUGUCACUUGUGUUGUUAUUAGCAUGUAUCAGCAUUGAUACAAUACUGAAUACAAAGGGGGUUAAUCAUAAGGCUUACAGCAGCAUAGCAGCUUAUAGUUGUUUUACUGUAAAAAAAUUGGUAUACUACACAGUUCAGAAUAAGUAACGUUUAUUUGCUGUCAGACAUUCAGAUAUUAAUGUAGUCCUAUUCAUGUUUGAUAACCACAUCUAGUCCACUUUUGAGGUCUGAAAACAUCAGGCUAACUUUAAUUCUAGAGUGAACUCACUUUUAUAUAUAAUACGUUUAAAAAAUUGCAAAUUUACAGCGGCAGUAGAGUUGUAAUUAUCCCCAUAUAAUUGCCUUGAUGUGCUUGUAAGUAUAUAUUAUAUUGUACCAAAUUUGAAAAGCUGGUGAAUAUUAAAGUGUUGUCAUUGUAGUACAUUUUUACCA